UACGUAGGGAGCAAGCGUUGUCCGGAAUCAUUGGGCGUAAAGCGCGCGUAGGCGGCCCCGUAAGUCCGCUGUGAAAGUCAAAGGCUCAACCUUUGAAAGCCGGUGGAUACUGUGGGGCUAGAGUACGGAAGAGGCGAGUGGAAUUCCUGGUGUAGCGGUGGAAUGCGCAGAUAUCAGGAGGAACACCGGUGGCGAAGGCGGUUCUCUGGGCCUUACCUGACGCUGAGGAGCGAAAGCGUGGGGAGCAAACAGG
rnacentral:rRNA from 1 species